GAUGAGCGUCCAGGUCCGGCUGCGCUUCGAACCGUUUUAGAGGGAAACAUCUUACGGGAAGAAUGAGAAUACAAGAAAAUGGAAAAGUAACACAAACCCCCAAAUAACGUUCAUCUAACUAAAUGUGUUGAAUGGUGUUCAGAAAGUAAAAGCAGGCACUGCUGUUUAAACUAUAAUUUGUGCCCAACUUGGUGAGGUCACCUCGCAAUCUCUUCGUUCUCUGAACAUUUAAAAAGAGUGCCAUUAUAAGAAAAAAGGAAGACAACGUAUGGGAGAGAGCUUCUCCCUCUGGUGUGAUUUUAUUUCCUCUUUAGUCCUGCAGGACAUUAUAUCCUCUCCUGCACUUCAAGGUGAACUCCUUGCCAACAGCAACUCACUCGUGCUUCUCUAAGGAAACUGAUCCAGCAAAGGAAACUGAUCUAGCCAAGUAAUCUCCUUGGACACACCGUAGCCUGUUUGCGCUAGAAACACUAGAUGGCGCUCCAGAACAGCACGCGGGGGCCACUUGAAACAGCACAUCCCCAGCAAAACCACAAAAUGUGGCACUAAAUAAACUGUGCAAAGGACACUUCUUUACAGUACGAGAGCUGGAAGAAAAAGGCACUGUCGUUUUGAUCGACUUGAACUGGGACCAGGUGACUCCAUUUUUUAAAAUCCAUGAGUGAAUACUAAAGUACCACGAGUAUUCAUUUGGGGGUGACAAAUAAGUUUUAAUGAGUAUGUGAAUUUACACAUACAA